CACGUAAAUUCUAGUUAAUGCAUUCUUAAACUGGGUAGGUAGGUGGAGGAAAAGCUGGGAAACCUUCAAAAUCUCAUCAUACCAAAUAGCAGGAGCUGUUUCAAGGGUAGUCGGAAGGAGGCUCACGGGCUAACUGAGAACGGACUGAUCCACUGAAAACCACAAGAAAACUGGUGAAAAUGCAACAACCAAAAAAAUGUUAACAGUACAAAUAUAUGCAAGAUUUGUACCCAAGCCAAGUGAAUAGACAACUGAGGCAACCAUACGGUCAUUCACAGCAAAGGCUGGGACAUAGUUGGUUCUCCCAGAAUGUGGGAGGGACAAUUCUUGAAGAACCAUAUUUUGAAGAGAAAUUGUGCGGUGACACUAACAUCAUGACUUUCGCUGCCUGGAUGUGCACAACUGCUUCUUCCAUCACCUUCUACCCAGAUUCCUCAACAGCCUUCUACCUAAAACACAUAGGGAAAACCCCCAUUGUGGAAGAACUAGCUGUACUUAGAAAAGGGUUUUAGAUUUGAACUAUCCAGAACUGCUCUUCACUUUGAUUGAAUGCACUCUAUUUUUGCCACACACACUGUAUGCAGGCUAAGAUUUAAAAUCCUUGUAAAAGAUGCUGGGUUUCUCAAACACAAAGCAUAAGGCUGUGUGAAAUGUAUAACUUUGGAAGAGUUAAAACCAUGAAAAUGUUAACUGCCCACUGGAAAAAAAAAUGAAGUACUUAAUGGCAUCAUGCCAAUAAUCAAUUUGGAUGUGCUGUUUCUCUAGCUGAAUAUAAAAAUCAAUGACUCAUG